rnacentral:rRNA from 1 species
UUUGAUCAUGGCUCAGAUUGAACGCUGGCGGCAGGCCUAACACAUGCAAGUCGAACGGUAACAGGAAGCAGCUUGCUGCUUCGCUGACGAGUGGCGGACGGGUGAGUAAUGUCUGGGAAACUGCCUGAUGGAGGGGGAUAACUACUGGAAACGGUGGCUAAUACCGCAUAACGUCGCAAGACCAAAGAGGGGGACCUUCGGGCCUCUUGCCAUCAGAUGUGCCCAGAUGGGAUUAGCUUGUUGGUGAGGUAACGGCUCACCAAGGCGACGAUCCCUAGCUGGUCUGAGAGGAUGACCAGCCACACUGGAACUGAGACACGGUCCAGACUCCUACGGGAGGCAGCAGUGGGGAAUAUUGCACAAUGGGCGCAAGCCUGAUGCAGCCAUGCCGCGUGUAUGAAGAAGGCCUUCGGGUUGUAAAGUACUUUCAGCGGGGAGGAAGGUGUUGUGGUUAAUAACCGCAGCAAUUGACGUUACCCGCAGAAGAAGCACCGGCUAACUCCGUGCCAGCAGCCGCGGUAAUACGGAGGGUGCAAGCGUUAAUCGGAAUUACUGGGCGUAAAGCGCACGCAGGCGGUCUGUCAAGUCGGAUGUGAAAUCCCCGGGCUCAACCUGGGAACUGCAUUCGAAACUGGCAGGCUUGAGUCUUGUAGAGGGGGGUAGAAUUCCAGGUGUAGCGGUGAAAUGCGUAGAGAUCUGGAGGAAUACCGGUGGCGAAGGCGGCCCCCUGGACAAAGACUGACGCUCAGGUGCGAAAGCGUGGGGAGCAAACAGGAUUAGAUACCCUGGUAGUCCACGCCGUAAACGAUGUCUACUUGGAGGUUGUGCCCUUGAGGCGUGGCUUCCGGAGCUAACGCGUUAAGUAGACCGCCUGGGGAGUACGGCCGCAAGGUUAAAACUCAAAUGAAUUGACGGGGGCCCGCACAAGCGGUGGAGCAUGUGGUUUAAUUCGAUGCAACGCGAAGAACCUUACCUGGUCUUGACAUCCACAGAAGAAUCCAGAGAUGGAUUUGUGCCUUCGGGAACUGUGAGACAGGUGCUGCAUGGCUGUCGUCAGCUCGUGUUGUGAAAUGUUGGGUUAAGUCCCGCAACGAGCGCAACCCUUAUCCUUUGUUGCCAGCGGUUAGGCCGGGAACUCAAAGGAGACUGCCAGUGAUAAACUGGAGGAAGGUGGGGAUGACGUCAAGUCAUCAUGGCCCUUACGACCAGGGCUACACACGUGCUACAAUGGCGCAUACAAAGAGAAGCGACCUCGCGAGAGCAAGCGGACCUCAUAAAGUGCGUCGUAGUCCGGAUUGGAGUCUGCAACUCGACUCCAUGAAGUCGGAAUCGCUAGUAAUCGUGGAUCAGAAUGCCACGGUGAAUACGUUCCCGGGCCUUGUACACACCGCCCGUCACACCAUGGGAGUGGGUUGCAAAAGAAGUAGGUAGCUUAACCUUCGGGAGGGCGCUUACCACUUUGUGAUUCAUGACUGGGGUGAAGUCGUAACAAGGUAACCGUAGGGGAACCUGCGGUUGGAUCACCUCCUUACCUUAAAGAA